CGUCACAUUGGUUGCAUCCUUUUGACGGUCGCAUAUCUCCUCUCAAAUCCUUUCGUGGUCAUACCGUCGUCAACUCUUCCCCAUCACUGGCUGGCCAUGGCUUCCACCAUGGCUAUCGCCCCGUCCCUGCCCUCCGACGAUCACCCUCCUCCCCAGACCCUCUGACGGACGAGGAGGAGGGAUGAGCGUGCGUUGCCGGCCUUCCGGCCUCCCCUUUUCGUCGUCACCAGCGUUGCAUCCCUUCCUCCCCCGUCAGAUCCGGCGACGUUGAGCACGGGUUGCCUCCCUCCAACGCCGUUGCGACCUCCCCCUUCUCCACCAAGAACACCCCCCACGAUGGGAUCUAGCCGGUGACCUCGAGCUUGCCCAGAUGCGGCCAAGAUCCACCGCUAGCGCGGGCUUGGGCUCUCUUCCUUCCGAUGCUCGUGGGCACCAGGUAGCCCGCGCGCGCGUGCUCUUCUUCCUUCCGGUCCUCGUGGUCGCCACACUAGGCCCUCCCUCAGUUCUCCAGCCAGCAACCGAUCUUCCCCACCUCCACCUUCCUCUCACCGGAGCUGGCCUUGGCGCUCCACUUCGACGACGGCCAACCUCCCCCAACUAGACGCAGCGCGGUGGCCACGCACGCCACCUGCUCAUCGCCGUGUGCCCCGUCCUCGUGCGAUACGCUGUGUACCUUCUUCGGCCCGUCUCUUUCUCUCCUCUCCUGCAAGCUCUCCCUCCCAUUGUGAUGCUCUCUUCCCCGCACUACUACCAGCCGGAGGUGGUCGGGAUCCGGCCGAGGAGGGGCUGCGCCGUUCACUCCAAGCGCGUCGGUGGCUGGAGCUCGACGAGUGGACGACGGCGUCGCAGGGAGAAAAGCCCAACUCUCCACAGCGGAGCAGCAGCAGCACCUCGUCCUCGAUGUCCUCUGCUCCGACGUUGUCAUCGCCAUGCUCUGCUCCGACGAGUGCCUUGACAUCUGGGUGAUGCACUUGCACGCGAUCGAUGGUCCACUCUGCAGAAUUAGGUGCUGCCUUUUUGCCCAUGAAUUUGGUGAUUAGUUUGGUGAGGCCAGAGAUUCCUCAAUCCCUGCCCCGCCCCUCUGCUGUGUGCCAGAUGGGCUGCUCCGGCAGGCAUGAUGAGGUACUCAACGUGGGGAUACGGCUGGCUGCUUCUUGGGAGGUUGCGAGUGGGGUAUCCCAUAUCUCCACUUUUCCAGCCGUUCCUUUGCCCAGUGAAAUGUAGCAGACUGCUUGAUGCUUGAAAGCUCUUCCCGCGGAUGUCUCAGUUGCUUACCUUCUAGUUCCAUGUUUGGCCAUGAGAUCAAUGACAAAAAAAUUGCUUCCGUCCUCAGUAAAGUAGUUCUGAAGCAUAGUUCUGUGUUCUGUCAAAUGCUGCGUGUAGAGUAAGAAAAUAAAGGUAACGUGGUGCUCAUGACCUUUUUAUUGUGUGCCCUGGGAGAGUUUGCAAUUCAGUUUAUGAGAAAAUGGAAGUGCAAGUACUUGUUCAAUAGCAUCAGUGCCAACAGAAGUGCAGUUCAGUUUGCAAUUUUUUCUGUGGGGCAUUCUCGCUUGGCUAGAUUAAAACGGAUAUGUCCCAGUUUUACAGUUAGUUUGACUCACUAGCUUGGUAAGCCCCAGCUGUAGCAUCGGAGAUAAUUGUACUACCAGGCUAAUACCAACGCCACUCUGCUUUGGCUUGGCAACCACCAGCGGCGGACACCGAUGGAGAGGUGGAGAUGGCGGGCUCCCUGCACACAGCGAGCGGAUCCUCGGCGACUUGUCACGGCAGUCAUCAGAUAUGAUCGACACAAUGAACCACAAGUGUAGACCAAAGUGUUCCCGGUCACUGUUAGCUGUCCGCCGAAGUUUCCAAUAGACUUGACUGCUUGGUUAGGAAAAUCCAUCGCGUCAGUUCUUAUGUUGUGGACAUGUUUCACAUUUAAUUUACUUGCAAACUUUAA